CAACACAUAGGCCUAAUCCACCUAAAAAUCAACCUAAUUCAAUCAGUCUAGACGGAGAGAAACGCCAGGAUUUUCAAAAAGGUUAAGAGAUCGACCAAUGUUAUUGUGGAAGAGAUUGUCGCCAGAUCUUUUGGCUGGAUAAAGAACAGAUGCUAGCAGUCUAAUCUAAUAUCUGUUGGGAUAUUUGUGUCAAACCGUCUUUUUCUGUAUAUCAGCUUGCUAGGCCUUGUGGUUUAAUAUAGUUAUUUUGUUUGCUGGAAAAAAACAAGACUAGAGAGGUAGAUGUUUUUUAUUACUUUUAUCUUUGACUUAAAAGGAGCAACACUAAAAGGUCUUUGAAUCUCAUGAAUGUUAGAAGGUUUUGACUAAUUAUAUGUCAAACCAGAAAAAAGUAUUUUUUUUCAUUUAUUUAUCUUUUCGAUUUUGUUA